rnacentral:rRNA from 1 species
GUGCACGCUGGCGGUAGGCCUAACACCUGCCAGUCGGACGGCAGCACAGUAAGAGCUUGCUCUUACGGGUGGCGAGUGGCGGACGGGUGAGGAAUACAUCGGAAUCUACUUUUUCGUGGGGGAUAACGUAGGGAAACUUACGCUAAUACCGCAUACGACCUACGGGUGAAAGCAGGGGAUCUUCGGACCUUGCGCGAUUGAAUGAGCCGAUGUCGGAUUAGCUAGUUGGCGGGGUAAAGGCCCACCAAGGCGACGAUCCGUAGCCGGUCUGAGAGGAUGAUCAGCCACACUGGAACUGAGACACGGUCCAGACUCCUACGGGAGGCAGCAGUGGGGAAUAUUGGACAAUGGGCGCAAGCCUGAUCCAGCCAUACCGCGUGGGUGAAGAAGGCCUUCGGGUUGUAAAGCCCUUUUGUUGGGAAAGAAAAGCAGCAGGUUAAUACCCCGCUGUUCUGACGGUACCCAAAGAAUAAGCACCGGCUAACUUCGUG